rnacentral:rRNA from 1 species
GACGAACGCUGGCGGCGUGCCUAAAACAUGCAAGUCGAACGAGGCAGCAAUGCCUAGUGGCGAACGGCGGAGUAAUACAUAAGCAACGUGCCCCGAAGACUGGGAUAGCGGUUCGAAAGGACCAGUAAUACCGGAUGUGGCCCUUUCUCGACAUCGGGAAAGGACUAAAUGGUUUUUCGCUUCGGGAGCGGCUUAUGACCUAUCAGCUUGUUGGCGGGGUAACGGCCCACCAAGGCUACGACGGGUAGGGGGUCCGAGAGGAUGACCAGCCACAUUGGGACUGAGACACGGCCCAAACUCCUACGGGAGGCAGCAGUGGGGAAUCUUGCGCAAUGGGCGAAAGCCUGACGCAGCCAUGCCGCGUGGAUGAUGAAGGUCUUAGGAUUGUAAAAUCCUUUCACCGGUGAAGAUAAUGACUGUAGCCGGAGAAGAAGCCCCGGCUAACUUCGUGCCAGCAGCCGCUGUAACAC